CCUCAACCUCCUAAGAGCUCUAGGGUUUCCAGAGAUAUCCUUCUUAUGCUUCCUCUUAAACUCUUGAACAAAGUGGUUCACCAUUCUGUUAUCAAAGUCUUCACCUCCAAGGUGGGUGUCACCAGCUGUGGCCUUCACUUCAAAGAUACCCUCUUCAAUGGUUAGCAGCGAGACAUCAAAAGUACCACCACCUAAAUCAAAGAUCAAAACAUUUUUUUCACCAACAUUUCCCGCCUUCUUGUCAAGACCAUAAGCAAUAGCUGCGGCAGUGGGCUCAUUGAUAAUACGCAUAACAUUGAGGCCAGCGAUUACCCCGGCAUCCUUAGUUGCCUGGCGCUGAGAGUCAUUGAAAUAAGCAGGGACAGUCACAACGGCAUUCUUUAUUGUUAGUCCGAGGUAGGCCUCGGCAAUCUCGCGCAUCUUAAUGAGCACCAUAGAAGAAAUCUCCUCAGCAGAAAAUUGUUUCUCUUCGCCCUUGUAUGUAACCACAAUCAUGGGCUUGUCACCGGGGCCAGCAAUAACCUUGAACGGCCAAAGUUUCUGGUCACUCUGUACAGAAGGGUCACUGUAUCGCCGACCAAUCAAACGCUUAGCAUCUAUGAAUCAUAUAAAAUUUGACUGUUAGCAACCCAAAUUCCAUCUUCAGCUCAUAACUUAAGCACAUCCCAUACACAAAAUAAGUUCAGAUAGACAAAUAUAUAACAGAACCAGAAAGGGUGCUUUAAAAAACGAAUUUGAGACAAUUUUAUCCAACAAUUACAGAAUACGCUGCCAAUCAAUAUUUACUAUUGUUUUUGCCAAAGAAGAAAAUUUAUGAUAUUCAUUAGAUUUUUCUGAUGAUGACGAUGCAUAGUUAUUUAUAAUACUUCGCUAAUUAAUUGUUACAAAAUUUACAAACAAACAUCGUUUGUGCUCUGCAAGAAUUUCCCGAUUUAUUUGAUUUUUUUUAAAAUUCAAAUUACAAGCUAAGUCAUAGUAAUCUUAGUUAGUUGGCAUGAAAAUUGAAAGGAUAAUCUAGCACUUGUUCAAUUUCCAUUAUUCAUAUUUCAAGCAUAUAUCUUGCUCCUUACUCAGGCAAGGAGGACUAAAAGCAAGUUUCAGGCUUCUUAACAGGUUAUAAAAAUAACAUCUCUGAAAUUCAUAAUUGUAGAACAUAGAAACCAUCCCAAGACAGACAAUUCAGAUAAUUCAACAAAUAGAUGGAUAAAAAUUCUAACCAUAGCUCCAAAAAAAAAAAAAGGAAUCAAAGUUCUUCUACGAAGCACUUACCAAAAACGGUGUUGAUAGGGUUCAUGGCGACCUGGUUCUUAGCAGCAUCGCCGAUCAAUCGCUCAGUAUCAGUAAAAGCAACAUAAGACGGAGUCGUUCUGUUGCCCUGAUCAUUGGCUAUGAUUUCCACUCUGUCGUGUUGCCAAACACCGACGCAUGAGUACGUAGUACCGAGAUCUAUUCCGAUCGCUGGACCCUCUCCUUUUCCAACCAUCGCAGAAGUCUUCUCAGAUAAUCAAAUAAAAAAACAGUAAAAACAAGAGAAAAUUCUAAUUUCUUUUGCCAGAAAAAAUGCUUAUCGGAAC
rnacentral:misc_RNA from 1 species